ACCAAUUUUUAUUUAUAAAAAAAAAAGAAGAAAAAUUUCAGCCACAUUGAUAAUAAGCUUGAUACUGUGGUUUUUAAUUGAAAAUAGCUACGCUUCAGUUCACCCCAUACGAUAUUUAUUAUUUGUAUCGAAUGAUCCUCUAUUUGAUAAGGCAUCUGAUAACAUCUGAUAGACCUUAUGAUAAAAUAAAUUAUGAAAUUUUUUGUAUUUUAAAUAAGAUGGAGCGAUAUUUAACAGAACACAGGACGUUCGCUAAAGGGAAGAAAUACGAACGAUGGAAAUCUGUCUACACAUCAACAUACUCAUUCCGACAUCACGAUUAUUAGAUAUUUGCUGUGCUUCAAAACUGUUUGUUCCGAUUGGCAGCGAAAAAACAAUUCCAGAAUCGAUAAUGAAAUCUCGGGCCUGGAUCGGUAUCUCGACAGAGAUGCGUGAAAAUGAAGGCGUUUUACAGAACACUGUAACUUUUCAAGCAAUUCGAACAAACGAGGUAUAACUUAUCGAAAUAAGUAUGGUGCACACAUUCAAAGAGCGGAGGUGCGAAUAAUGGAUAUGAGUGUUGCCAAUGGGAUACUCAUGUACAUUCGUGGAGCUUAUAAACAGCGGUCCCUCUGCCAAAAACAUUCAAGAAUUUCUGUUGAACGGCAUACAUCAAAGUCGAUAUGGCAGGACAAACAGAAUAUUUUACUACAGGCGUCAGACGUCCAUUCAGUGGCAGAACUGACUUGUUCAAAUACCGAAAACUCUACUACGUGAUGAAGAGAACUUGGACAAGUUCGUUAUCCAAAACCAAGGCAUCUCACGUAACUUAACUAUGCUCGCUGCCCUAAAUCUUUCAUCAAGAAACUCCAUUUCAUCAAAUUAACAAACAUGCGCGCCUUAUGUGGCAAUCAUUCUGAAUAAUCUAGGCCAGUACAGAGCAAAAACGUACGAGCAUAUCUGCAAUUUGUUAACUUUAGUUGAUUUCAUGCAUUUUUUAUAAUAUAAAACUUCUUUUCUGCUUGUUCUGUACACCAAAAUUCAGAUUAGUCGAGAUUAUACGUUGAAAUAAAGAAUUUGCUGAAAAGCAAGAUAUUUUUAUCCCAAUGCA